GACGAACGCUGGCGGCGUGCUUAACACAUGCAAGUCGAACGGAGUGGCGACCGGGUGAGUAACCCGUGGGUGAUCUGCCUUGCACUUCGGGAUAAGCUUGGGCAACUGGGUGUAAUACCGGAUAGUGCAAGAUGAGCUCGCGGCCUAUCGGCUUGUUGGUGGGGUAAUGGCCUACCAAGGCGUCGACGGGUAGCCGGCCUGAGCGGGUGUACGGCCUGAGUGGGACGGAGGUACGGGCCAGACGCCUACGGGAGGCAGCAGUGGGGAAUAUUGCACAAUUGGCGGAAGCCUGAUGCAGCGACGCCGGGUGGGGGAUGAAGGCCUGCGGGUUGUAAACUCCUUUCGACAGGGACGCGGUACCUGGAUAAGAAGCACCGGCUAACUACGUGCCAGCAGCCGCGGUAAUUC
rnacentral:rRNA from 1 species